rnacentral:rRNA from 1 species
GGGACACGUGGUAUCCUGUCUGAAUAUGGGGGGACCAUCCUCCAAGGCUAAAUACUCCUGACUGACCGAUAGUGAACCAGUACCGUGAGGGAAAGGCGAAAAGAACCCCGGCGAGGGGAGUGAAAAAGAACCUGAAACCGUGUACGUACAAGCAGUAGGAGCCCACUGGUUGGGUGACUGCGUACCUUUUGUAUAAUGGGUCAGCGACUUAUAUUCUGUAGCAAGGUUAACCGUAUAGGGGAGCCGCAGGGAAACCGAGUCUUAACUGGGCGUUAAGUUGCAGGGUAUAGACCCGAAACCCGGUGAUCUAGCCAUGGGCAGGUUGAAGGUUGGGUAACACUAACUGGAGGACCGAACCGACUAAUGUUGAAAAAUUAGCGGAUGACUUGUGGCUGGGGGUGAAAGGCCAAUCAAACCGGGAGAUAGCUGGUUCUCCCCGAAAGCUAUUUAGGUAGCGCCUCGUGAACUCAUCUUCGGGGGUAGAGCACUGUUUCGGCUAGGGGGUCAUCCCGACUUACCAACCCGAUGCAAACUACGAAUACCGAAGAAUGUUAUCACGGGAGACACACGGCGGGUGCUAACGUCCGUCGUGAAGAGGGAAACAACCCAGACCGCCAGCUAAGGUCCCAAAGUCAUGGUUAAGUGGGAAACGAUGUGGGAAGGCCCAGACAGCCAGGAUGUUGGCUUAGAAGCAGCCAUCAUUUAAAGAAAGCGUAAUAGCUCACUGGUCGAGUCGGCCUGCGCGGAAGAUGUAACGGGGCUAAACCAUGCACCGAAGCUGCGGCAGCGACACUAUG